rnacentral:rRNA from 1 species
AUUGAACGCUGGCGGCAUGCCUUACACAUGCAAGUCGAACGGCAGCACGGGGGCAACCCUGGUGGCGAGUGGCGAACGGGUGAGUAACAUAUCGGAACAUACCCUAGAGUGGGGGAUAACGUAGCGAAAGUUACGCUAAUACCGCAUACGCACUAAGGUGGAAAGUGGGGGGAUCUGCGGACCUCAUGCUCAUGGAGUGGCCGAUAUCUGAUUAGCUAGUUGGUGAGGUAAAGGCUCACCAAGGCGACGAUCAGUAGCUGGUUUGAGAGAACGACCAAGCCACACUGGAACUGAGACACGGUCCAGACUCCUACGGGAGGCAGCAGUGGGAAUUUGGACAAUGGGGCAACCCUGAUCCAGCAAUGCCGCGUG